GACGAACGCUGGCGGCGUGCCUAAUACAUGCAAGUAGAACGCUGAAGAGAGGAGCUUGCUCUUCUUGGAUGAGUUGCGAACGGGUGAGUAACGCGUAGGUAACCUGCCUUGUAGCGGGGGAUAACUAUUGGAAACGAUAGCUAAUACCGCAUAACAAUGGAUGACACAUGUCAUUUAUUUGAAAGGGGCAAUUGCUCCACUACAAGAUGGACCUGCGUUGUAUUAGCUAGUAGGUGAGGUAAUGGCUCACCUAGGCGACGAUACAUAGCCGACCUGAGAGGGGGAUCGGCCACACUGGGACUGAGACACGGCCCAGACUCCUACGGGAGGCAGCAGGAGGGAAUCUUCGGCAAUGGGGGCAACCCUGACCGAGCAACGCCGCGUGAGGGAAGAAGGUUUUCGGAUCGUAAAGCUCGGUUGUAAGUCAAGAACGGGUGUGAGAGUGGAAAGUUCACACUGUGACGGUAGCUUACCAGAAAGGGACGGCUAACUACGUG
rnacentral:rRNA from 1 species